UACAGGGUAUCCUAGUGGACAUGGCACCUGCCCGGUAAGCAGAAGGUUGUGGGUUCGAUUCCCGCCCCUGGAC